GGGUUUGCGGGAUAUCAAGGUAUCUCAAAGUUACCUUGAUAAUCUCAUCGGAACUUGCCCUCAAAUAACUCGAAAUCAGGUUGUCGGGCAACCGGCACGUGGGUUCAAAUCCCACCCGCUCCG
rnacentral:tRNA from 1 species